UGGUUCUGGCAUCGAUGAAGAACGCAGCGAAAUGCGAUAAGUAAUGUGAAUUGCAGAAUUCAGUGAAUCAUCGAAUCUUUGAACGCACAUUGCGCCCGCCAGUAUUCUGGCGGGCAUGCCUGUUCGAGCGUCAUUUCAACCCUCAAGCCCCCCAGGGCGGCUUGGUGUUGGGGAUCGGCGCGGUGGGGGAAGGGCCUCUCUCCAAGGGAGGCACGACCCCCGAACCCGCCGCCCCCUAAAUGAAUUGGCGGUCUCGUCGCGGCCUCCUCUGCGUAGUAGCACAACCUCGCAGCAGGAGCGCGGCGCGGCCACUGCCGUAAAACGCACCAACUCUCAAGAGUUGACCUCGAAUCAGGUAGGAAUACCCGCUGA
rnacentral:misc_RNA from 1 species